AACGAACGCUGGCGGCAUGCCUAACACAUGCAAGUCGAACGAGACCUUCGGGUCUAGUGGCGCACGGGUGCGUAACGCGUGGGAACCUGCCCUUAGGUUCGGAAUAACUCCCCGAAAGGGGUGCUAAUACCGGAUAAUGUCUUCGGACCAAAGAUUUCUCGCCUUUGGAUGGGCCCGCGUUGGAUUAGCUAGUUGGUAGGGUAAAAGCCUACCAAGGCGACGAUCCAUAGCUGGUCUGAGAGGAUGAUCAGCCACACUGGGACUGAGACACGGCCCAGACUCCUACGGGAGGCAGCAGUGGGGAAUAUUGGACAAUGGGCGAAAGCCUGAUCCAGCAAUGCCGCGUGAGUGAUGAAGGCCUUAGGGUUGUAAAGCUCUUUUACCCGAGAUGAUAAUGACAGUACCGGGAGAAUAAGCUCCGGCUAACUCCGUG
rnacentral:rRNA from 1 species